rnacentral:misc_RNA from 1 species
GAUGAAGAACGUAGCGAAAUGCGAUAAGUAAUGUGAAUUGCAGAAUUCAGUGAAUCAUCGAAUCUUUGAACGCACAUUGCGCCCCUUGGUAUUCCGAGGGGCAUGCCUGUUCGAGCGUCAUUAUAACCCCUCAAGCUCAGCUUGGUGUUGGGGCCUGCCGCACGGGCAGCCCUUAAAAUCAGUGGCGGUUCCAUCUGGCUCUAAGCGUAGUAAUUCUUCUCGCUAUAGAGUCCCGGUGGAUGCUUGCCAUUAACCCCCAAUUUUCUAUGGUUGACCUCGGAUCAGGUAGGGAUACCCGCUGAACUUAAGCAUAUCAAUAAGCGGAGGA